GAUGAAGAACGCAGCGAAAUGCGAUACGUAGUGUGAAUUGCAGAAUUCAGUGAAUCAUCGAAUCUUUGAACGCACAUUGCGCCCUUUGGUAUUCCAAAGGGCAUGCCUGUUCGAGCGUCAUUUGUACCCUCAAGCUUUGCUUGGUGUUGGGCGUUUUUGUCUUUGGCCCGCCAAAGACUCGCCUUAAAAUGAUUGGCAGCCGGCCUACUGGUUUCGCAGCGCAGCACAUUUUUGCGCUUGCAAUCAGCAAAAGAGGACGGCAAUCCAUCAAGACCCCUUCUCACGUUUGACCUCGGAUCAGGUAGGGAUACCCGCUGAACUUAAGCAUAUCAAUAAGCGGAGGA
rnacentral:misc_RNA from 1 species